UACGUAGGUGACAAGCGUUGUCCGGAUUUACUGGGCGUAAAGAGCGCGCAGGCGGUCGAUCAAGUCGAGUGUGAAAGCCCCCGGCUCAACUGGGGAGGGUCAUUCGAUACUGAUCGACUCGAAGGCAGGAGAGGGUAGUGGAAUUCCCGGUGUAGUGGUGAAAUGCGUAGAUAUUGGGAAGAACACCUGAGGCGAAGGCGGGUUGCUGGGCUGACACUGACGCUGAGGCGCGAAAGCCAGGGGAGCGAACGGG
rnacentral:rRNA from 1 species